rnacentral:rRNA from 2 species
CGAACGCGUUGSCCAAUUGAUUGAUGRUGCUUGCMCYKRAUUGAUUUUGGUCGCCAACGAGUGGCGGACGGGUGAGUAACACGUAGGUAACCUGCCCAGAAGCGGGGGACAACAUUUGGAAACAGAUGCUAAUACCGCAUAACAACGUUGUUCGCAUGAACAACGCUUAAAAGAUGGCUUCUCGCUAUCACUUCUGGAUGGACCUGCGGUGCAUUAGCUUGUUGGUGGGGUAAUGGCCUACCAAGGCGAUGAUGCAUAGCCGAGUUGAGAGACUGAUCGGCCACAAUGGGACUGAGACACGGCCCAUACUCCUACGGGAGGCAGCAGUAGGGAAUCUUCCACAAUGGGCGCAA